GAUGAACGCUGGCGGCGUGCCUAAUACAUGCAAGUCGAACGCUGGAAAUCUAGCUUGCUAGAUUGAAGGAGUGGCGAACGGGUGAGUAAUACAUAAGCAACCUACCCACGAAGACUGGGAUAAUCUCUGGAAACGGGGACUAAUACCGGAUAGGUAAUCGGAAGGCAUCUUCUGAUUAUUAAAGGUUAAAAACACUGGUGGAUGGGCUUAUGGCGCAUUAGUUAGUUGGUGAGGUAACGGCCCACCAAGACGAUGAUGCGUAGCCGGCCUGAGAGGGUGAACGGCCACAUUGGGACUGAGACACGGCCCAGACUCCUACGGGAGGCAGCAGUAGGGAGGUUUCGGCAAUGGGGGAAACCCUGACCGAGCAACGCCGCGUGAGUGAUGACGGCCUUCGGGUUGUAAAGCUCUGUUGUAAGGGAAGAACGGUAGAUAGAGAAUAUCUAAGUGACGGUACCUUAACAGAAAGCCACGGCUAACUACGUG
rnacentral:rRNA from 1 species